CGUAGGUGACCUGCGGAAGGAUCAUUAAAGCAAGCUUAUACUUGUUCUCACCUUUUGGUGAAUAAAAAGAAAUUAUACACACACGCUUGUUGUCUUUUGAAUGUCAAUGUUAUUCGUAACAAAGCAUAACUUUCAACAACGGAUCUCUUGGCUCUCGCAUCGAUGAAGAACGUAGCGAAAUGCGAUAAGUAAUGUGAAUUGCAGAAUUCAGUGAAUCAUCGAAUCUUUGAACGCACCUUGCGCCUAGUGGCCUCGGCCCGGGCAUGCCUGUUUGAGCGCACGCACCUCUCUUGCCUCGUAACGCGGUUUCCGGACUGUGUCGGGCAGUGUUGAGCGAUAUUGCCGGUGUCGCCUGGCUCGCUCUGAAUGCAUGAGCAGGAUCUUUGGCUCGAAGCGACGUGAUAAGUAUCUACGUCCAAGUAGAGCUGGAAGAGCCCGCUUUCAAACGGUCCCCUUGCGGGACAAUUUCAGUGAGCACUGCAUCAAAUCAGGUAGGACUACCCGCUGAACUUAAGCAUAUCAAUAAGCGGAGGAAAAGAAACUAACAAGGAUUCCCCUAGUAACUGCGAGUGAAGCGGGAAGAGCUCAAAUUUGAGAUCUGGCUAUUGCCCGAGUUGUAACCUAGAGAAGUGUUUUCGGCCGCUGCCUCGGACAAGUCCCUUGGAACAGGGUGUCAUAGAGGGUGAGAAUCCCGUCUGCCGAGCUCCCAGCGUCUACAGAUACACUCUCGAAGAGUCGAGUUGUUUGGGAUGCAGCUCAAAUGGUGGUAAACUCCAUCUAAAGCUAAAUAUGCGAGAGACGAUAGCGA
rnacentral:sRNA from 1 species